UGAGGAAUAUUGGUCAAUGGACGCAAGUCUGAACCAGCCAAGUAGCGUGCAGGAUGGCGGCCCUAUGGGUUGUAAACUGCUUUUAUAUGGGGAUAAAGUGGGGAACGUGUUCCCUUUUGCAGGUACCAUAUGAAUAAGGACCGGCUAAUUCCGUGCCAGCAGCCGCGGUAAUACGGAAGGUUCGGGCGUUAUCCGGAUUUAUUGGGUUUAAAGGGAGCGUAGGCCGUUUGGUAAGCGUGUUGUGAAAUGUAGGAGCUCAACUUCUAGAUUGCAGCGCGAACUGUCAGACUUGAGUGCGCACAACGUAGGCGGAAUUCAUGGUGUAGCGGUGAAAUGCUUAGAUAUCAUGAAGAACUCCGAUUGCGAAGGCAGCUUACGGGAGCGCAACUGACGCUGAAGCUCGAAGGUGCGGGUAUCGAACAGG
rnacentral:rRNA from 1 species